CCAGAUGGCCAGGUGACCGCUGCCGGUGCAAGCCGGGAGAGGAAAGUCCGGGCUCCACGGAAACACGGUGCCGGGUAAUCCCCGGCGGGGGCGACCCCAGGGAAAGUGCCACAGAGAGCUGAACCGCCGUUUUGCUGCGGCAAAACGGUAAGGGUGAAAAGGUGCGGUAAGAGCGCACCGCGCGACCGGCAACGGAAGCGGCAGGGCAAACCCCACCGGGAGCAAGGCCAAAUAGGGGCGGUACGCUGGGCAACCAGCACUCGGCGUUUCCGGGAGCGCCGCCCGGGUCGGCUGCUAAAGAUGCCAGGUAACUGGCAUCGUAGAGGAAUGGUCACCCAGCGCCCGCAAGGGCGUGGACAGAACCCGGCUUACAGGCCAUCUGGUUUU
rnacentral:RNase_P_RNA from 1 species